rnacentral:rRNA from 1 species
AUGAACGCUAGCGGCAGGCCUAACACAUGCAAGUCGAGGGGUAGAAGGAGCUUGCUCCUUUGAGACCGGCGCACGGGUGCGUAACGCGUAUGCAAUCUACCUUGUACAGGGGAAUAGCCCAGAGAAAUUUGGAUUAAUGCCCCAUAGUAUAUAACCUUCGCAUGUUGGUUAUAUUAAAGUUCCAACGGUACAAGAUGAGCAUGCGUCCCAUUAGUUAGUUGGUAAGGUAACGGCUUACCAAGACGAUGAUGGGUAGGGGUCCUGAGAGGGAGAUCCCCCACACUGGUACUGAGACACGGACCAGACUCCUACGGGAGGCAGCAGUGAGGAAUAUUGGUCAAUGGUCGCAAGACUGAACCAGCCAUGCCGCGUGCAGGAAGACGGUCCUAUGGAUUGUAAACUGCUUUUAUACAGGAAGAAGCCCUCCCACGUGUGGGAGCUUGACGGUACUGUAGGAAUAAGGAUCGGCUAACUCCGUG